rnacentral:rRNA from 1 species
UACGGAGGGGGCUAGCGUUGUUCGGAAUUACUGGGCGUAAAGCGCGCGUAGGCGGACCUGCAAGUCGGGGGUGAAAGCCCGAGGCUCAACCUCGGAACUGCCUUCGAUACUGCGGGUCUCGAGUCCGGGAGAGGUGAGUGGAAUUCCUAGUGUAGAGGUGAAAUUCGUAGAUAUUCGGAAGAACACCAGUGGCGAAGGCGGCUCACUGGCUCGGUACUGACGCUGAGGUGCGAAAGCGUGGGGAGCAAACAGG